AUUGAACGCUGGCGGCAGGCCUAACCCAUGCAAGUCGAACGAGUGGCGGACUCGUGAGUCAUGUCUGGGACACUGCCCGAUGGAGGGAGAUCACUACUGGCAACGAUCACUAAUACCGCAUACCAGCGGAUGUGCCCAGAUGGGAUUAGCGAGCAGGGUGGGUAACGGCUAACCUAGGCGACGAUCCCUAGCUGGUCUGAGAGGAUGACAGGCGACAUUGGAACUGGGACACGGUCCAGACGCGUACGGGAGGCAGAAGUGGGGAAUAGUGCAGAAUGGGGACAAGCCUGAUGCAGCGAUGCCGAGUUGAUGAAGAAGGCCCUAGGGUUGUAAAGUACUUUCAGUCUGGUGGCGUUACCCUCAGAAGAAGCACCGGCUAACUCCGUGCCAGCAGGGGCGGUAAUAG
rnacentral:rRNA from 1 species